rnacentral:lncRNA from 1 species
GCACAGUCUUGUUUUCGUGCAGCUCAGCCUUCCCACAGGCUGCGGUUUCAGCAGCUGACAGCACCGGGCGCCCCGCAGCCAGGUGUGACCGCACGGGGUCGGUUCGGAGCGAAGGAGAAGAGAGGGGAGCUGAGAUCAAGGUGUGCAUCUGCGAGGGAAGGAGCUUCCCAGCUCAGCCCCUGCUGGGGUUUCAAACCCCACCGAGCACUCUGCUCCUACACCUGCAGAGCUGCUCACCCGGUCCAGGGGCUCUUCGUUUGGGCUCUGGGAUGCACACGGGAGGUUGGUGUUUUCCUUUGGAACGUGUCCCAGGUUUGAUUCCUUUUUUUACUCUUCCAGAAUGAGGAGAACAGAACCCUGGGGAAGGUGCUGUGGUCCAGGUGGCUCCUGGCUGCACCCAGCCCAAUGUCCCGCAGCAUCUCCACAUGGCUCUCCUACAGAGGAAGGGGUGGAUCAGCUGUAUCCGGAAUGCAACGAUUCACUGUCACCUCCACAGCUCCCCCCGUGAG